GUGUCCAGAGCCGAGCAUCCCGGUGGACAAAUUGUGGAUUAUUUACACCAGUGGUUCUCAACCAGGGCUAAAUAUAUUCCUUGGGAUACACUGAAGUCUUUCUUGGGAUACAUCAACUCAUCUAGACAUUUGCCUAGGUUUACAACAGGCUACAUAAAAAACACUAGCAAACUCAGUACAAACUAAAAUUUCAUACAGUGACUUAUUUAUACUGAUCUAUAUACUAUACACUGAAAUAUGACUCGAGGGACAGCCAACAACACUGAAAUACUCAGCUACCAAAAAUGGUACUGUCCUGCAACUUUGAAGAGAAACUAUUUUGCAAGGAUAACUGGACAAGAGAGCUGAUAUAUCAGAAGAGAUAUGUGCUUAUUGGUUCUAUAGAGAAGAAGUAAAUGUUCAAAAGUGACAUAUCUUUAAAAGUGACAAUCAUACUACCAAGAAGUCUCAGAAAAGGAACUUGGCUAUUAUUCAUAAAAAUCAUCU